rnacentral:rRNA from 1 species
UGGUAUGCUUAACACAUGCAAGUCGAGCGGUCUAGGAACUAGAUACUAGAAACUAGAAACUAGGGGUUGAAUCGCUGCGCGAUGAUUUAUUGUAAAGAAUCACCUUGCUUGGUAAGGUUCGACUUCCACUUUCUAGUUUCUAGUCUCUAGUUUCUAGAUAGCGGCGGACGGGUGAGUAACGCGUAGGAAUCUGCCGUACAGAGGGGAACAACAGAUGGAAACGUCUGCUAAUACCGCAUGAAGCCUGAGGGUGAAAGGUCGCGCAAGCGGUCGCUGUAUGAUGAGCCUGCGUUGGAUUAGCUGGUUGGUGAGGUAAAGGCUCACCAAGGCGAUGAUCCAUAGCUGUUCUGAGAGGAAGAUCAGCCACACUGGGACUGAGACACGGCCCAGACUCCUACGGGAGGCAGCAGUGGGGAAUAUUGGACAAUGGGGGCAACCCUGAUCCAGCAAUACCACGUGUGUGAAGAAGGCCUUAGGGUUGUAAAGCACUUUAGUUCGUGAGGAAGGCUAUCAGGUUAAGAGCUGGAUAGUUUGACGUUAGCGAAAGAAUAAGCACCGGCAAACUCCGUGCCAGCAGCCGCGGUAAUACGGAGGGUGCGAGCGUUAAUCGGAAUGACUGGGCGUAAAGGGUUCGUAGGUGGUCAGAUAAGUCAGAUGUGAAAUACCUGGGCUCAACCUGGGAGGGUCAUUUGAAACUGUUUGACUAGAGUUUACUAGAGGAUUGGGGAAUUUCCGGUGUAGCGGUGAAAUGCGUAGAGAUCGGAAGGAACAUCAAUGGCGAAGGCAACAAUCUGGGGUUGAACUGACACUGAGGGACGAAAGCGUGGGGAUCAAACAGGAUUAGAUACCCUGGUAGUCCACGCUGUAAACGAUGAGUACUAGCUGUUGGUCCUGGUGUAAAAGGAUUAGUGGCGCAGCAAACGCGAUAAGUACUCCGCCUGGGGACUACGGCCGCAAGGUUAAAACUCAAAGGAAUUGACGGGGACCCGCACAAGCGGUGGAGCAUGUGGUUUAAUUCGAUGCAACGCGAAGAACCUUACCUGCCCUUGACAUCCAUAGAAGACGAGAGAGAUUUUGUUGUGCCUUCGGGAACUAUGAGACAGGUGCUGCAUGGCUGUCGUCAGCUCGUGUUGUGAAAUGUUGGGUUAAGUCCCGCAACGAGCGCAACCCUUAUUUUUAGUUGCCAUCAUUAAGUUGGGCACUCUAUAGAGACUGCCGCUGAUAAGGCGGAGGAAGGUGGGGACGACGUCAAGUCAUCAUGGCCCUUACGGGCAGGGCUACACACGUGCUACAAUGGGCAUUACAGAGGGAGGCGAAGGUGCGAGCUGAAGCGAAACUCAGAAAGGUGUUCGUAGUCCGGAUUGCGCUCUGCAACUCGAGCGCAUGAAGUCGGAAUCGCUAGUAAUCGCGGAUCAGCAUGCCGCGGUGAAUACGUUCCCGGGUCUUGUACACACCGCCCGUCACACCAUGGGAGUGGGUUGCAAAAGAAGUAGAUAGUCUAACCGUAAGGGGGACGUUUACCACUUUGUGAUUCAUGACUGGGGUGAAGUCGUAACAAGGUAGCCGUAGGGGAACCUGCGGCUGGAUCACCUCCUUAAAGGUACGAGUAUGAUGUUGAAUUUUUAAUGUUGAAUGUUGAAUUUUUGAUGUUUGAAGUACGAAGGAAAUUAAGAAAGAGCGAGAAGUAUUUGAGUGUUUACAAAUGAUGUUUUUU